AAUAUCAAUAAAGUUGUCACAUGCACCCCUCUAGAUGAACCAGUUACUGAAACCUCCUACAAUGUCCUUGGUUUCCACGUUGGGUGGGGGGGUCGUCGUCAUGGUGGCUCGGACUGCAUUUGCAAGACAUGCUACCGCCAACACCCUUAUGAUUUGAGUACAUGCGUAUGUGAAGAUAGCAAGGUCGAGCCAGUAUGUGACAUGUGCUACCCUCGCUUCGGUGUCAUUCAUCCAAUCCAAGGAGGGUUCGAGUUGGGCUAUAACACUAAACUUGAGCGUGAUUUUUUUCGCCCCCAUAAAAAACAAACU